UACGAAGGGGCUAGCGUUGUUCGGAAUUACUGGGCGUAAAGCGCACGUAGGCGGACAUUUAAGUCAGGGGUGAAAUCCCGGGGCUCAACCCCGGAACUGCCUUUGAUACUGGGUGUCUCGAGUCCGAGAGAGGUGAGUGGAAUUCCGAGUGUAGAGGUGAAAUUCGUAGAUAUUCGGAGGAACACCAGUGGCGAAGGCGGCUCACUGGCUCGGUACUGACGCUGAGGUGCGAAAGCGUGGGGAG
rnacentral:rRNA from 1 species